UGUUAUCCCGUCUGAGAGUGUCUUAAAUUUUUAAUUUUGCAAUACCUGCUUUCAAAAAGUAGGUUUCGCAAUUUGUGUUUGUUCAGGUUUGUCUUUCGACAUUGUUCGGAAACGAGUAAUCCUUCUCGAUUUCGAUCAGAGAGCAUGCAUUUAGGAUCGAUGCGUAUCUCUGAGUGAACAGCUGUUGCAAUUGCAUAGCAAGACUUUGUAAUAAGAAGUAGAUGAUUGAGAACAAUGGCAUGCAAUAUUUUAAUGAUUGAGAACAAUGUCAUGCAAUCACUAUGUGAGAUCCAUAUGUGCAAUAAAGCAAUAUGUGUAAUUAUUUUUAUGGUUGAUGUAUUUAAGAGAUUAAAAUAAAAAUUUUGUCAUCAAAGUGA